GGAUGAGUAUUGCGCAAUGGGCGAAAGCCUGACGCAGCGACGCCGCGUGGGGGAUGAAGGUCUUCGGAUUGUAAACCCCUUUCGGGUGGGAAGACGGCCCUAGACAACUAGGGCGGACGGUACCGCCAGAAGCAGCCACGGCUAACUUCGUGCCAGCAGCCGCGGUAAUACGAAGGUGGCGAGCGUUGUCCGGAAUCACUGGGCGUAAAGGGCGCGUAGGCGGCCUGGUAAGUAGGGGGUGAAAUCCUGCGGCUCAACCGCAGGGCUGCCUUCUAAACUGUCAGGCUCGAGCACGGUAGAGGCAGAU
rnacentral:rRNA from 1 species